UACGUAGGGUGCAAGCGUUGUCCGGAAUUAUUGGGCGUAAAGAGCUCGUAGGCGGUUUGUUGCGUCGGCUGUGAAAACUCGAGGCUCAACCUCGGGCUUGCAGUGGGUACGGGCAGACUAGAGUGCGGUAGGGGUGACUGGAAUUCCUGGUGUAGCGGUGGAAUGCGCAGAUAUCAGGAGGAACACCGAUGGCGAAGGCAGGUCACUGGGCCGCAACUGACGCUGAGGAGCGAAAGCAUGGGGAGCGAACAGG
rnacentral:rRNA from 1 species